UUGAGAUGUAGCUAUCUCUUGCUAAGUUGCAAUGGUUGUCCAAGUAAUAGCUAGUUUCUUGCAGAAAGGAGCUUUUGUUGUAAUAUGAUUUGCAACUUCUACAGAAAAGAAUGAUAUUGUUAUUCUGAUGAAAAGAGUGUCACCUGGAAGUUCUGAGAUCGAGUUAGGAACAAUUACCUCAGAAUUUGCAUCUCCUCUCGCUCGGAACUCUAUCUUGGCAAAGUAAAAAGGUUUGGCUUUUCAUGAUUGAUGGCAAGUGGAGCUUCUUUUGGUGAUCACAGAUCACAGUCUCUGUUCACUGGCUGAACCUGAUAUCAGCAAUGAACAGAGAUUUUAUAUAUAUAUAUAUAUAUAUAUAUAUAUAUAUAUAUAUAUAUAUAUAUAUAUAUCGAACGGUAUAUCGCUCGGUAUACAAUAUCGUAUUGUAUCGAGCGAAUAUCGAAACUUUAGUACGGUACGAUAUUUCAAUCCUUGCCUUACAUCAUGCCUACAGUUGCUACAAACUUGCUCCUAUUUUUGUUGGAACUGUUUAAACUCUCAAUCAUGACCAUCCUAGAUUCAAAUGGUUCGCAACGAUCGCUACCCUGCGAUACCGCUACACGCGGGGUGAGGGCAUCAAGAGCAACAAUAGUUGUUGCCUUUUCUCGCUUUUGUGUCAACGAUUUUAAUAUCAAAAGCUUCUCCAAAACAUAACACAUGCAGUUCAAACCUAAUUUUUGCACGAACAACCUAGCUCUGAUACCAUUAUUGGGAAAUCUUGGGGGCGACAUCAUAUACGCAGCGGAAGAACAGAAAAUAAAAUCCUCAAUUUCCAAAGAUAUGUUCGUCAUCGUGCGAAGAUUGGUACGCAAAAAUUCGCGAAAUAGAAAACCACAUGUGAGAUACAUUGUGUUACUUAGGGAGAUCAUAUAUCCUUGAAUCUCUGCAUAUCUCUAGGAAAGGGUGAAAGAGGUCAAGCGCCCCCCUCUCUAGAGGUGAUUCACACAACAGGAUUGUGAUGAUGCUCCUCAAAACUCCAGACCUGUUCUGAGAUGGAGAAGGGAGGAGAAUAGAAGAAACAAUAAAAAAACACUAGCCUAUGAACCACUAGUUCUCUUACAUUCAACAGAUGGUUCACAUAUAAAUUGAUCUAAUGAAAUUUGAUCACAAUUUCUUAGAUAGAAAUAGUGCAGGCUAGAAGAAAAAGUCUCAACUAAUUUGAUCCUUAUUUUGUUUCAAUAAUCUAGUGUACCAUAUCAGUUGCCAAUUUUUGAUGGGCCUGCCACCUUCAUGUUAGGUACUGGUCUUAGCAAUAAGAGAUGAUAGACACUGGGCCUAACAAUAAGAG
rnacentral:lncRNA from 1 species